UACACCAAGCGGGCGCUGUUUCCGUACGUGGGGUCAUCGGCGUCGGUGGCCGUUACCUGCAUCACCGACGUACCUGCCAAUCAAAAACCCAGUUUGACUUUGUUCACCAAAACAAAGGAGUAGUUCUGCACAGCCAGGAAACGAGCAGCGCUUGGCAACGUUUGCAUGGCAACUUAUAUGAUCCAAUCACUGAAGCAGCAGAUUCGGACAUGGCAACUUGGCCAGAGGUGCAAGAAAGAGCUGGCUGUGCAGCAAAUGAGAUAACGACUCCCUCGGGUGAGGAGAUGUAAAGUUCAACAGAUGACCUUGCUUCGCAACACUCAAAAGCUUUUAUGGGCUACAAAUGACUCUGAGGGCCAGAUGUUCUUCGUGGAGCUUUGAGUUUGACACCUGUUUGCAAGACCGAGAAAAAUGCCUGCAAGGGCCGACCGCCUGUGAUUUCUCAAGAGCUGUGAGAAAGAGAGGAAAGAAGCUGACUUUCCUUUAAAAGCUUUUCUACAGGGAGCCGAUUUUGAUCAACUUGCAAAGUUUCAGGAUUGGAGACUGCAUUCAUGUUGCUUUGUUGACUCACCGGGCGCCGGCGCCCCCGAUGUUGCUAUCUCGCACCCCGACGCCGCCUCAAAGACACACCGUGUUCCCGGCGCCUUCUAUUAUCCAACAACAAACAAUCAAGUCGCCCUGGCAGACUUUCUCUGAGAUGAGAGUUAGAUGGAUUUUAGCCGCCCGCGACUUUCUCACAAAAUCAAUGGGGAGCACAAAGUGGACUCCAAAGGACUCCAUAAACAUCUUUAUCACCGCACUGCACUGACAGCGGCUUUUCAACAAGACGAAAGCUGAGGAGCCAACAAGUGGUAUUGGGGUAAUUUGCUGCUCAAAUUGCCAAGGAUCCAGCAGGAUCAGGAUAAUAGCAGAGAAGCCUGCGGAG